GUCAUCUACCCCUCCGCUAAAUGCGGGGGCUUGUAGAUAACUACAAGCCGGGUUGAACAGGGUAAGUGAUGGAGCAGUGGUAAUGCAAAGCAGUAACUACAUGAGCGAUAAACAAGAGAAGACCCACUUUGGGAUGCUUUCACAGUCCUGGACUCUGGAAGGAGGGGAUCAUGUGCGCCGAAGGUUCUCUCCUCCUGCGCAAACAGGUAGCCAGUUGUACAUAUUCCCGAGGGGAGCGAGUCGGAAACGCC
rnacentral:sRNA from 1 species